AUGCGGGGCAGAGUAACUUCUAAUCCAGAGAUGAGGCCCAUGCCUGGAGCUGAGGCCAGAUGUGGAAGGCUCACAGGAUCCACAAGGGAGCUACUUGUGCAGGGCUCACUCUCGACUCCUUCCCACGGCUCCACAAACCAACGUGUCCAACUCAGCUUUCCAGGGCUUCAUUACAAGGUAAGCCCUCUGCUGCAUAGACGCUCAAUGCUAAAGGGCAGUCAAGUGACCCAAGGCACUAACCACGUCGUUCGCAUGUGUAGUAAAGCUCCAGCCCGCUAGAGACUCACAAACCUCUUGUUCCCUCCUUAACAAAGAGAAGUGCAGUCACAGUGCUUAAAGCCAGUAGCUUUUGGCAGCAGUCAUACAUGGGGCCCUGGAGCCAGCAGCAAGGACAGAAGGACACCACCGGCACAGCCAAAGGCCAGAUCUGUUGUUGUUGUUGUUGUUUAGUUGCUAAGUUGUAUCUGAUGCUUUUGCGACUCUAUGAACUGUAGCCCACCAGGCUACUCCAUCCAUAGGAUUUCCCAGGCAAGAAUACUGGAGUAGGUUGCCAUUUCCUUCUCCAGGGGAUCUUCCCAACCCAUUGAUCAAACCCACAUCUCUUAUGUCUCCUGCCUUGACAGGCGGAUUCUUCACUGCUGAGCCACCAGGGAAGCCCCACGUCAGGUCUGGGAGAAGGGAAAAGAGCAAGAAAGACUUGGUGCAGCUGCAGCAGGAGAGAGAAAGAGGCAGGGAACUGUUUACUAGGGGAAGAAAGAGAACCAGGAGAGACUCAGGAUGCUCAGCUGGUGGAAAGGAGAAACUGACCCUGGAUCCCAGGGACAGGCAAACCGUGAAAG
rnacentral:lncRNA from 1 species